rnacentral:lncRNA from 1 species
AAUAAAGUGAAGUGAAAAAAUGAGAAGAAAAAAAUUGAAAAGGAAAAGAAAUUGAAAGAAAAGAGAAAGAAAAAGAGUGCGAGUAAGAAAAGAACUUUGAAAAAGAAAAAGAGUCAUAAAAAAAGAGAGAAACAAAGAGUUAAAAAUGAAUAAGAAAAAAGAAAAUGAGUUGCAAAAAGAAAAAGAAAGAGAAAAGAAGAGUGAAAGUGAGUUUUUAAAAAUAAACGAGAGAAUGAAAAAAGAGAAAAAGCCAGAAAAAGAAACGAAUGAAUAUAGUAAUCAAACAAAGGGGAGGACUAUUCUUGCUAACCCACAUUCAAAGAUGCCUGUUAAUUUCUCUUCAUUUCAGU